rnacentral:lncRNA from 1 species
GCCAGGGGGAGACACUGCCCUGGCUGGAGCCUGGAUUCACUAGGUCAUCACCAAUGCAGGGGGUCCUGGCUCACUGGACUUUGCUACUAGAGAAGGUUGGGGAGCUCCACAUGAAGGCAAGAAGGCUGGGGCUCAGGGUGUAACUCAUCCCCGGAGAGCAACCAGAAAGGCCGUCGGAUUGCAACGCAGCCUGCAUUGUCCUCGCUGAACGCCUGGUCCUGUCCCACCUGCACCGGACAGCAACUGCUUCCCCUCCAGGGCGGCCCCCAUCGUCCCCCAGGUGCUGCAAGAGCAGUGAGACUUACCCAAGACAAGUCAGAGGCUUUGGAGCUCUCGGGGGCGGUGGCUUCUCCCAGGAGCCCCGUAUCUGUCAGUCCCCCCAUAAGGGGAGGGGAGUUGGCAAGGCUCCUCCUUGCUCCCAGCGUGAGGAUUGCCCCUACUUUUC